rnacentral:rRNA from 1 species
AUUGAACGCUGGCGGCAGGCCUAACACAUGCAAGUCGAACGAGUGGCGGACGGGUGAGUAAUGUCUGGGAAACUGCCUGAUGGAGGGGGACAACUACUGGAAAAGGUAGCUAAUACCGCAUACCAUCGGAUGUGCCCAGAUGGGAUUAGCUAGUAGGUGGGGUAAAGGCUCCCCUAGGCGACGAUCCCUAGCUGGUCUGAAAGGAUGACCAUCCACACUGGAAUGUGGACACGGUCCAGGCUCCUACGGGAGGCAGCAGUGGGGAAUAUUGCCCAAUGGGCUGAAGCCUGAUGCAGCCAUGCCGCGUGUAUGAAUAAGGCCUUCGGGUUGUAAAGUACUUUCAGCGGGGAGGCGUUACCCGCAGAAGAAGCACCGGCUAACUCCGUGCCAGCAGCCGCGGUAAUUC